rnacentral:hammerhead_ribozyme from 1 species
AUCCAGCUGACGAGUCCCAAAUAGGAUAACGAAACGCACGUCAAAUUGGAU